rnacentral:rRNA from 1 species
AGAGAUGGAUUGGUGCCUUCGGGAACUCUGACACAGGUGCUGCAUGGCUGUCGUCAGCUCGUGUCGUGAGAUGUUGGGUUAAGUCCCGUAACGAGCGCAACCCUUGUCCUUAGUUGCCAUCAGGUCAAGCUGGGGACUCUAAUGAAACUGCCUACGCAAGUAGUGAGGAAGUGGGGAUGACGUCAAAUCAGCACGGCCCUUACGUCCAGGGCUACACACGUGCUACAAUGGCCGGUACAAAGGGCAGCCAAGCCGCGAGGUGGAGCUAAUACCCAUAAAACCGAUCGUAGUCCGGAUCGCAGUCUGCAACUCGACUGCGUGAAGUCGGAAUCGCUAGUAAUCGUGAAUCAGAAUGUCACGGUGAAUACGUUCCCGGGCCUU